UUAAGUUCAGCGGGUAUUCCUACCUGAUCCGAGGUCAACCUUGUGUAAGUUGGGGUUUAACGGCCGGUAGGCCGCCAGACGUCCAGGGCGAGGAGUAAUGCUACUGCGCCCAGAGUGCUGGCAGACACCGCCACUAUAAUUCGGGGCAUACAGCAGCGCUGUAUAUGCCCCAUCACCAGGCAGCCAGGGCCUGAGGGUUG
rnacentral:misc_RNA from 1 species